rnacentral:rRNA from 1 species
UUAGAUACCCCAUUAUACUAGUAAAAACCUCAACUAUUAAUAGAUAUAUUCUUUAAACUUGAAGAAUUUGGCGGUGAUUUAAUCUUGUUAGAGGAACCUGUUUUUGAAUCGAUACACCACGCAGAAUCUUGCUCAUUUUAUUAGUUUAUAUACCAUCAUUAUCGGAUGAUUUUUAAAGAAAUAAUUAUUGUAACUUACAAAAGUAAACAAAAUUAGAUCAAGGUGUAGCUUAUAAAUGAGAUAAAAUGGGUUACAAUAAAAUGUACUUAUUACGGAUUGGCAGAAGAAAUCUGCUAUAAAGGAGGAUUUGAUUGUAAUAUAAGUUUAAUAAGCUUAAUAGAAAUAAGCUCUAGAUCAUGUACAUAUCGCCCGUCGCUA